CGUUCUGUAAGCCUGUGAAGGUGUGCUGUGAGGCAUGCUGGAGGUAUCAGAAGUGCGAAUGCUGACAUAAGUAACGAUAAAGCGGGUGAAAAGCCCGCUCGCCGGAAGACCAAGGGUUCCUGUCCAACGUUAAUCGGGGCAGGGUGAGUCGACCCCUAAGGCGAGGCCGAAAGGCGUAGUCGAUGGGAAACAGGUUAAUAUUCCUGUACUUGGUGUUACUGCGAAGGGGGGACGGAGAAGGCUAUGUUGGCCGGGCGACGGUUGUCCCGGUUUAAGCGUGUAGGCUGGUUUUCCAGGCAAAUCCGGAAAAUCAAGGCUGAGGCGUGAUGACGAGGCACUACGGUGCUGAAGCAACAAAUGCCCUGCUUCCAGGAAAAGCCUCUAAGCAUCAGGUAACAUCAAAUCGUACCCCAAACCGACACAGGUGGUCAGGUAGAGA
rnacentral:rRNA from 1 species